rnacentral:rRNA from 1 species
UACAGAGGGUGCAAGCGUUAAUCGGAAUUACUGGGCGUAAAGCGCGCGUAGGCGGUUUGUUAAGUUGGAUGUGAAAGCCCCGGGCUCAACCUGGGAACUGCAUUCAAAACUGACAAGCUAGAGUAUGGUAGAGGGUGGUGGAAUUUCCUGUGUAGCGGUGAAAUGCGUAGAUAUAGGAAGGAACACCAGUGGCGAAGGCGACCACCUGGACUGAUACUGACACUGAGGUGCGAAAGCGUGGGGAGCAAACAGG